rnacentral:rRNA from 1 species
UACAGAGGUCUCAAGCGUUGUUCGGAUUCAUUGGGCGUAAAGGGUGUGUAGGUGGCGCCGUUAGUCGGGUGUGAAAUUUCGGAGCUUAACUCCGAAACUGCAUUCGAUACUGCGGUGCUUGAGGACUGGAGAGGAGACUGGAAUUCAUGGUGUAGCAGUGAAAUGCGUAGAUAUCGUAAGGAAGACCAGUGGCGAAGGCGGGUCUCUGGACAGUUCCUGACACUGAGGCACGAAGGCCAGGGGAGCAAACGGG